UAAAGGCAUGGUCCCGACCUUAUUAUCAGCUUUAACCUAACUUACACAUGCAAGUCUCCGCAACCCCGUGAGUACACCUUCCCCCCGCCCAGGGGAGAGGAGCGGGUAUCAGGCGCAAACCUUUAGCCCAAGACGCCCAGCCCAGGCCACACCCCCAAGGGAAUUCAGCAGUGAUAAACAUUAAGCCAUAAGUGAAAACUUGACUCAGUCAAGGUUAAGAGGGCCGGUAAAACUCGUGCCAGCCACCGCGGUUAGACGAGAGGCCCUAGUUGAUAACCCACGGCGUAAAGGGUGGUUUAGGAAUGUAAAUAAAUUUUAAAGCCAAAUGGCCCUUCGGCCGUUAUACGCUUCUAGGAGCCUGAAGCCCGAUUACACGAAAGUAGCUUUAUUAAAGCCCACCUGACCCCACGAAAGCUGAGAAACAAACUGGGAUUAGAUACCCCACUAUGCUCAGCCAUAAACCUAGACAUCAAACUACAACAGAUGUCCGCCCGGGUACUACGAGCAUCAGCUUGAAACCCAAAGGACUUGACGGUGCCUUAGACCCCCCUAGAGGAGCCUGUUCUAUAACCGAUAACCCCCGUUAAACCUCACCACUUCUAGUAACCUCAGUCUAUAUACCACCGUCGUCAGCUUACCCUGUGAAGGUAAAAUAGUAAGCACAAUGGGCACAGCCCAAAACGUCAGGUCGAGGUGUAGCGCACGAAGUGGGAAGAAAUGGGCUACAUUUUCUAUUACAGAACACUACGGAUAUGUCACAUGAAAUAGUGCUUGAAGGAGGAUUUAGUAGUAAAAAGGAAGCAGAGUGUCCUUUUGAACCCGGCUCUGAGGCGCGUACACACCGCCCGUCACCCUCUCCUGUCACACUGCGACAAAGAUAUACCUAAUACCCCAAGCACCGACAAGGAGAGGCAAGUCGUAACAUGGUAAGUGUACCGGAAGGUGCACUUGGACAAACC
rnacentral:ncRNA from 1 species